rnacentral:lncRNA from 1 species
UCUCAUUGAGUAAGGUCUGGUAGAUGGUCCGGUCCAAUAUCUUAUGGAGGUGCCAUCAGUCUGACAUGACGUGGAAAGGUGAGAAUAAAAAUUGAAUUUAAGGCGUGAACAUAUAUUUGAAAUUUUUGGAUGAUUACGAAUUCAUUUUACUCAUUUAAUUACAUACGAUAAAGAUAAUUACAUUUUAUAAGCAUUGAUUAACACGUGAGUUGUGAGUUAGUUAAUUAAAAUUUUGAAAGGAAUAUAUACUCUAUAUUCAUCUCUCCCUUUCCAACACCACUUCCACUAUAAGAGAAUACAAUUCCCAUUCUAUUUUAUAUUUAAACGCACACCCAAUCUUCGUUCAUGUAAUAUAUACACCUUAACUUGCAUUUAAACUAAAUUUCACCUCAUCGGAUCGAGCUAGAAGUCAGAUGAUUCAAGGAAGAACUGCGGAGGAAAGUGACGAGAUCACUAUCAUGGUAUGCGAUGAACAAGUUGAUGGAGGACAUUUAGCUAUAGAGGUAAUUAGGGAAGAAGAUGAAAUCGAAGAGGCAAAGACUCUUGUUGGGAGAGAGGUAUUUAGAGCGGAAGACGAUCCUGGAGAAGUUGAAAUAGACAAUCUUGCUGAAGGUGUGUGGAAUUUCUACUUUGGAAUGUACUCUAAAUGGUAUCACUUUUAAUUAGUUACGUAUCACCAAAUGGAAGACAUUAUUUAUUAUAUUAUGUUAGUUAUCGGGUUUUUAUUACUUAUCACUUAGAUUAGUCUAGUUAGUCACGAUCACUAUUAUGAAAGUCUGAUGUUUAAAUCUUAAUGUAAUUUUUUAAUUUUUAUUUACUUAUAUAUCACAUAUAAUUUAUCAAAAAAAUAUAUAUUAGUUACUAUUUACUGUCUUCUAAGUACUGUCGGGUAUGGUCGAGGCACCGGGAAAAAAAAAUGGAAACAGGAUAUCUGUCUAGUUACCAGCGAGGUACGAAACGGGGCGAUCUAUCCCGUUCUUACCCUUGGUUAUAUCGUAAUAAAUUUGAUUGACCGACCCUGUUUCUUUUUUUCGCAUUUAAUGGUUACUAAUUAAGCACCAUCCCUUCUUAUCUAUUUAUUUAGAAAAAUUGCAAGAAAUAUAAUUACAAUUUACAAGUAUAUAUAUUAAAAAAUACAGAAAAAUUUAGUCAAGAAUAGAUAUUUCAUUAAAAGUUUUUUUUUUAUUUUGAAAGUACAUACAUGAUAAUACCAACUUAAAAAAAGGGUAUGACUGAGACUAUGAACCAGGAGUACAAUUUGUGUGUGUAUGUGUGUGAUUAACUAACUGAUUAUCCCUAAAAAUAUUCAUAAACACGAAUAUUUUCAAGUACUUUUUAAAUGAUUUAUGACUAUUUAUUUAGUGAAAUUGGAGAGUUGUGGUGUAAGUGCUACCAAACGACCAAUUAGAUGGCGCCACGUCAUACAUGGUCUUAAUAUUCCCAUCGGUUAGUUGCACUCUAAAUGACAACCCCUGUCCACUGAGAUAAUCCAAGCUAUGCCAAUUCGCACCCCAAUUCCUGGUCAAGGCCUUCCACUCAGUUUUCGAACCCUUGAUCCAUGCCGCCUUGAUAGUCCCAACUCCGGCGAUGUUACUGAUGAGAAUAAGUUGGAAGUAGUUUUUUCCAUUUAUCGUAAACGUCACGCCACCUUUCCGACUACACUUCACACUCCGGUAGUACACCGGGACAAUACCCGCUUUAUAGAUCGCGAUGGACUCCCACGCCGGCUGAGACAUGUCGAAAUGCAUCCGGGGACUAUUGCACCAGCCACCGUCGUCGUUGGACAGAGCCGGGUUUGGUGGGCAAAAAUUGGUAGCGGUGACGGUGAUGUGAGUUCCUUUACGGCACCACUGCGGGACUUUAGUCGAGUCACAGACUAUCUGAUAGCAACCUCCACACGAAGCUCCGUCGUUGAAAAGCGCCGUACUUAACGCCGCGUUUUUCAAUCCGUAACCGUCUUUGUAUAAAUUCCCAUAUCCGCAAGCUCCUCCUGCAACAACAACAACAGACAACAUUAGAAAUUAAAAUGACAAAGUCAGUCAAUUUAUUCAAACUUAUAAAUUACCCAUGGUUCCAGAGCCAUCGCCACCGCCGUAGAAUGUGGCAUGAGCGGAAAGCCAAGGAGAGGCCGAUGCGGUGAGAAAGAGAGAGGAGAUGAGAAAAACAGAGGAGGUCACGGUGAUGAACAUUCUCAAGGUCAUCGCCAUCGAUAUGUCUGUUUGUGAAUUGUGGUCGAGUACGUGUUUAUAUUUAUAUACAAAAACUAUAUAAGGGUAAUAAGGCCCCUGUUUAUCAUCAUAAUGACUUGAUCAUGAAUUAAUGAUGCAAAUUAUUAAAAUUAAGGUAUCUAAAUUAAUCAACUAAACUAGUUUAAUUUGUUUGACCAAAGAAUUGAAAUAAGUUCACAUCACUUAAAAGUAGUAUAGUUCAAACCUCACAUGCAAUUGACAACAGUUAUGGUCGGCUGUUGAACCAUAUGUAAGACUGACCUCAUUGUACGGUCGGAUUGGGUACUUUGAUUUGAGCUUUAAAGUAUUGAAACCAAACUAGACCGUUUCCAUAAUGGAAAUGGGCAUAUGUUUUGCCGGCAAUUUAGGACUUGUAGGGUUUGAUUUGACCUUUACGUUGGCAUGCACAUGAUUCCAUGCACAUCGGCACAUGCACAUCGAUUGCUUCAGCACAUGGAUUGACUUGCUUGUUUUUUUGGGUUCACAUCAAAAAAAAUUUAAAGUCUACUGUGUAGAUUGUGAGGGAUGUUUUCACUCAUGUGCAAUUUCAUUUUUCGAUUUAUUUAAUCAGAAUCCUAUCAAUCAUCAAAUCAUCUUUAUUUAUGAUCAUACCUUAUUGUUUGUGCAGAUCAUUUUCAUUCUUGAUGACUAGAGAUUGCACGACAAAUCUUCUCCUACAAUCAAUGUCUACGACUGCAAAUCAAUUAAGCUAUUUUUUCCCAAUCAAUUAAGAGUCAGUCAUCCAUAAAUUGAAAUAAAAAUUUAUCAAACAAAGGUACGGUGCCCAAAAUUCCAUUUCCCAAUCAAUGUAUUAAGUUGAUUUCAUAAAAUAGUAAAAAUACCAAGUAUAAUCGAUUUGUAAUGUAGAUAUAGUAUAGAAACAACACCUUAGUUUUCAAUGUCCAUCGAUUCAUCCGAGUCAUCUGAAUCACUCCUUUCGCGAUCCUCCCCUGUUGUGGGGUUUACCCCGGGAACAAAAGUGUUCACUUUUGGUGUUGGUGUAGGAGCAGGUUUGGGCGUAUUUUGAACUCGAGCACUAGUUUCUGUUGAUGUGCGAGCUGCCACUAGAUCUUUUUCGACACGCUGCACAAGCUCAGGCUGCAUAUACACAUAUUUUAUUUUGAAAUGUAAAUACAAAAUGAUCUUGCAUUAUGUCAUUUGUGUGUUGUGUGUGUGAUAUUACAUUUAGAUCAGGUUCCCUGCGAAACCUUCUCCGGCGAACAUCUCGCAUAGGAGGAGUUAGACCGUGCCUAUACUCCAUCCCCUCUGGUGCAGAAUCACCCUCUUCUCUUACCAAAAUCAUCUGCCACAAAGAAAGAAAAACUAAUCCUCUAUGGCAAAACAAGUCUCUUUAAAACCAACAAAAAUGAUUAAAAAUUUCAAACAUAUGUUACCUGCCCAACGUCGGCAGUUUUGAUCAAUGUCUGAUCAUCGUAUGUUUUAUAGGAUUCCACAACACAAGGAAGGUCUACAAGAGAGGCUGGAAAAUGCUUAUCGCCCAU